rnacentral:rRNA from 1 species
GGUACGUCUACGAGAGGUUUUGUAGUACCUGGACGUCAGGGAUAAAACGCUGGCGGCGCACAUAAGACAUGCAAGUCGAACGACUUACCAUAGUUUACUAUUGGAGCGGUUAGUGGCGGACUGGUGAGUAACACGUAAGUAACCUGCCUAUCAGAGGGGAACAACAGUUAGAAAUGACUGCUAAUACGCAUAUGCCAUAACCAUCGCAUGAUGGAAGUGGGAAAGGAGAAAUCCGCUGAUAGAUGGACUUGCGACUGAUUAGAUAGUUGGUGGGGUAAAGGCCUACCAAGUCGACGAUCAGUAGCCGAACUGAGAGGUUAAACGGCCACAUUGGGACUGAGAUACGGCCCAGACUCCUACGGGAGGCAGCAGUCGGGAAUAUUGCGCAAUGGAGGAAACUCUGACGCAGUGACGCCGCGUGCAGGAAGAAGGUUUUCGGAUUGUAAACUGCUUUAGACAGGGAAGAAAAAAGACAGUACCUGUAGAAUAAGCUCCGGCUAACUACAUG